rnacentral:rRNA from 1 species
UAGGGAAUUUUGCGCAAUGGGCGAAAGCCUGACGCAGCAACGCCGCGUGAUUGAUUAAGCCCUUCGGGGUGUAAAGAUCUGUCAGUGGGGACGAAACUUGACGGUACCCACAGAGGAAGCACCGGCUAACUCCGUGCCAGCAGCCGCGGUAAUACGGAGGGUGCGAGCGUUGUCCGGAAUCAUUGGGCGUAAAGAGUUCGUAGGUGGCACGUUAAGUCUGGUGUUAAAUGCAGAAGCUCAACUUCUGUUCGGCACUGGAUACUGGCAAGCUUGAAUGCGGUAGAGGUAAAGGGAAUUCCUGGUGUAGCGGUGAAAUGCGUAGAUAUCAGGAGGAACAUCGGUGGCGUAAGCGCUUUACUGGGCCGUAAUUGACACUGAGGAACGAAAGCCGGGGUAGCAAAUGGG